CAUCUUCGAUGACAUGAGGCAAGUCGAAAUUAAUGCCCUUAAUCGAAGGGUAUUUAGAGACGAUCAUGUUAAGGAUAGCGCCAGUGCCACCACCAACAUCAACGAUGCAUGUGAGGCCCUCAAAGCCAUUGUAGUUUCUUCAAGAAGUUUCUUCAUGAGAGAGAGAUCGAAUGUAGUUCUCAAGUAGUUCUCAAGAAGUUUCACAUGAGUGAGGUCGAUAAGAUAAACAGCUUGACUUUUAUAUACAUUCAACUAAGCUAACAUGUAGAAUUAGUAUGUAAAGACAUUGCACAAUUAGUAGAAAGAAACUGAAUGUUCUUGAUCACAAAGACAUGGUCGGCAAAAAAGUUAUGUUUCCAUAAGAAACAGAAGCAACAUGUAGUUCACACAAAUUUUUUCCAUUAUAGUUAGCUUUUGAAAAAACUGCUACACCGUUUUACAAAUUCAAUCGUUAAACAUGAUAUUGUAUUCCAAGACAAAGAUAAAGUAUAUGGUUUGUUUACAAAUCAAAGCUAGAAACCCCAAAGCUUUUUGCAUAUUCAUCAUCUCUCUGAUCAUGAAAAAUUAAAAUUAAUAAUAAUCACUCAAAUCAUAUUACAAUAUAUAACAAACUAUGUCAUCUGAUAAUCGAUAAAUUUUAAGAAAAUUUAAAAUGAAAACCAUAAUCUGAAAUGUCUGAAUUUUCUCAAACACUUUCUGAGAAGCCAAACCAAAACAAAAAACAAAAACAAAAACAAAAGGAGAUGAAUGAGAAAUGAGAAACGAGUAAUUACCAUGUCUGGAUUUGGAUGAGGCGGGAAGAGAAGGCCAUGAUCGGUUCACAGUCUUCCUCUUCUUCUUGUAAUUUAUGUUCCUCUUUCAAAUUUCAAAAACAAAAAAUCCACCCAUACUUAAUUCCCAUAAAAAAAAAAUUAAAAAAAAAUAAAAAAACUAGUAUAAAAAUUUCAUGGCACCUAUAAAAAUUCACCGUCACUAGUAUAAAAACCACCCAUACUCCAUUCCAUUUCUUCCCAAAACCCAGGGAUUCGGUGCCAGAACUGCAUCUUCUCAGUUGUUGCAUAUCUUCUUGCUAAUGUGUCAUUGACUUCGCACGCCUAGAAACCAAGCCAUCACAAUGCAAACGCGAGUAUCUCUGAUUAGCAUCGAAGGGGGUUGGCUUGGAAACUAAGAGCUGAGUAUCAUUCAAGGGAUUAUUCUGUAGCGUUGUGCCUACUCCGGAUGAUGCCAAAGUGGCCCCUUGAAGAGGUAAUGAAGGUAGUCAUCUAUCUAGCCUUUGGAAAGGUGCACUAUAUUGCAUGAACAUGAGGAAAUGCGAACAAAUAAGAAUUAUAAAAACUAAAGUGAAUCAAACCCAUGGAUCUUAUUGGGAUUACCUUCAUAAAAGCUAAGCAUUUUGGAAAAAACAUUUUCAAUUAAAAAUAACUUUGAAAAUGUCUUUCUAUUCAAGUAUGUUGGCCCAAAAUUGAAAGUGAUAGAUGCUUUCGAACAGUUUAGUUUGUAACCAUCAUUAACAUUACAAUUUUUUAGAAGUAAUGUAGACGAAUAUAUUUAGUUGCAUCAGGCUCCUUAGUUUCCAAUUGACAUGCCAAUUUAUGAUCCAUUGCUCUUUCUUUUUUAGACAAUAAAUCGAAAACAUUGAUAUAACCAAAUGCAUUCGAUAAUAGAAAACUACGUAAAUUUCCUAAGAGAGUUCUUGAACGGAAGAACUGACAAAGUAUUGAGUUGAUGAUGGCUUUUAUACCUACCCCAAUGAAUAGCUGCUGGAAGAAGUAUCUCAGGAAUAAGCAAUGCCUAUAAUGGAUUGCUCGAAAGCGCAUAUUCUUUGAAUUCCUCACCGCAAGGACAACAGCAAAGAGCACCGAUCUCUGCAUUUCCACCAAUAUAUACAAAAGAGUCAACAUUUGAGUUUAUAUUUUACUUAAAAUAUGAUUUUAGCCCUUCCAACUCAAUUUUCUUCAUAUAAAACCCUACAUAACUUUUUUACUCAAAGAAAACCCAAUGACUAGGAUCCACAUAAGCAAAUUCAUUAAUUUCAAUAUUACUUCACACAUUUUACAUUUUUCACAUGCCUAAAAUACCCCUAUUACAUAUUUGAUGUAGACAAUUAAUUGUAAGGAGAGAGUAAAUGAUUUUGCAACAAGAAAAACAAGACAUUAAUGUUAAAAAUUUAUUGCAUAUUAAUUUUUUUAGAAAGGCUUUGAAUUUUCAUAAACUAUUUGAUUAGUUUUUUUCACGCUACUCUUGAACACUUUUGAAUUUAUCCUUUUUUUAUUAAUAUAUUAGAACAUUGUAUUUCAUUAUCUACAUGCACAUUAAUUUACCUACAACAAUUAUACCAUGAGUGUAAUAUAAUAUCUCUUUUUUACAAUGAUGCAAAAUAAUGUUUAUACCAACAACAAAACGUGCCUAACAUAUGUACUAAUACAUGGAAAAUAAUUUACCUAUAUUAAGAAGAAAUGUAGUUCGAUGCGUAGUAUUAAAAAUACUAUGUUACACCCAUGUUUAUACAACAAUAAAACGUGCCUAACAUAUCUAACAAUACAUGGAAAAUAAUUUAUCUACAAGUUAGAUAAAUGUUAUUUGGUCGGGUGUAUAUAAAUUGUUUUAAUAAUUGGAAAAAUUAAAUAUAACUAGGUGUAGUGAAAUUUUUUUCUAUAAUUAGAACAAAUUAAUUUACCUACCUACUAUUUGAAAUGUUCAUUUCUAAUGAUGCAAAAUGUUCAUUACCUAACUACAAAAUAAUUUCCAAUAAUUUACCCACAACAAUUAUACCAUGGGUGUAAUGUAAUAUCUUUCUUUACAAUGAUACAAAAUAUUGUAUGUAUACCAACAACAAAAUGUGCCUAACAUAAGUACUUGUACAUGGAAAAUAAUUUACCUAUAACAAAAGAAAUGCAGUUUGAUGUAUAAAAUCAACAAUAAAUUUACCUACAAGUUAGAGGAAUGUUAUUUGAUUCAAAAUAUAUAAUAUAGGUGUAGUAUUUUUUUUUAAAUAAUUGGAACACACUAAUUUACCUACCAAUUAAUAUGGGUAAAAUUGCUACAAAAUAUAUCACGAAAAAAAAAACUACUUUUCUAGUUUGACAUGGAUACGGUUAAUGCAAACACUUUUUACAUUUUAUUUCACUUUUUCUACUACUUUUAUUUUGGCAUAAAUUUAGGAAUUUGGAAAACGGACCAUAAAGUAUGAGUGGCAUGAGUGUAAAUAAAUUGUAUUUAUAGGUCAAUAGUGUUCCCAUAUAUUUGCAAAUUUUAAAUUUUGGCUUAAACUGGAUCUUUAAAGAUAGAUGAGUUUUUAUCUAGAAAUAAUAAGUUGUAAGGGCCAAAAUCUAAAGCACCCUAUUUUUUUUUCAUAUUCUGUUUCUUCAUUUUCUUCUAUAUCACUUUCUAUACUCAUAUAUAUACUCAUAGUUUAGUUUAUAUUGGACAGGACCGAUCAUCAUAUGCUCAUAUAUAUGCGUUUGUUUAAUCAAUAAUGCUAUUUAAAGGUACAAAACUAAUCGCAUUUCUGAGACACUCGAAAAUAGCGGUGGACUCUACAAAUACACGCAAAACAUACAUGUGCUAAAGAAUCUAUAACAAUGCGAUUAAUUUUGGGAGUCUAUAUAGUAUUACUUGUUAUUUAUUUAUUGCCUAUCUGAUUAUGGCUUCUCAUGGCAGGUAGGAAUGCUUCUGUAAUUUGGUUGAUUUAAUUUCUUGAUCAUAAUACCAAUUUGAAUGAACAUCAUGGAUAAUAAUUUGACAGCUACGUCAUGAAAAUAAUAUGAAUGUCAUUUUAUCAUUUCCUUUUUGCCAUUUCUCUGAUUUAGGAGAGUUCUUGUGUUGUGUAUAAGCGAUAUGUCGAAAUCUAUUGACGGGUAAGUUCGAGUGAUAAGAAAAUCCAUGAGGUCCGAUUUUGUGUUUGUGGCAAUACAGACAUGUAAUUUGUCCGUUGUACACUAGAUUCUUUCAUUUUUUAGACCCUAUUGCAUGGGUAUGAUUCCAAAUUUAUAACAUACAAGCAUGUUAGAAUAGAAUUAAUUAAUCCAGAAUUUUAUUCAUAGUUGUCACAUGUAUUAUAGGAAUGUAAUAUUUAAUUGUAAUUAGUGUAGGAUCCUAUUUCAAUAGGGACUAAUGUAACCUUGUAUAUUUAUUGUAAUAUUUUUCACACAACAAUACAAAGAGUCAUAAUUCUACAUGUUAUCAAAGCAACAAAAUCACUUUCUUAUUAUUUUUUUGUAACAUAUGAAAACCUACUUAUCGUGUAACAUCCACGUAUGGAUACACGAUCACCAUAUAAAAAACCAAAGCAAUAUAAAUGCAGAUGGCAACAUACCAAAGGUAAAUUAUACUCAAUUCUUCUUAAGAAAUUCAAUGGCAUAGGUGUUGAAAGCAGAGCACACGACUCGAAAGCCUUGGAAUCCAGAUCCCUUAGCCAAGGCCUCGAACUCCUUCUCCGUCCUCUCUUUUCCGCCGGGGUUGUGAGCUAACAUGAUCGCGUCGAUAUGGACAACUCCCUUGGUGGCAAGGCUACUGUCCGGAGCUACCGGAAGAAUGCACUCAGCAACAAUUACCUUCCCAUUGUCUGGGAGCGCAGCAUAGCAGUUCUUCAAAAAUUUCAAGCAAUGCUCGUCACUCCAGUCGUGGCAUAUCCACUGUAAGAUUGCAUAAAGGAUUUGAUAUUAGUUCCAAAUAUAUUGAGCAACUAAGCUCCUAUGAGAAAUUAAUAUUAGCACUACAAAUAAUCAUCGGUUCUUUUUUGAUAAAUAAUAACUCACCUUCAUGAAAAUUGCAUCUCCCUUUGGAACACUUACAAACAUGUCUCCUCCAACAUGCUCCACACCUAUAUUCAACAUCCAUUGACCUCAUAUUCAUUAGGAAAAAUGAUAAAUAGUACAAAUAUUAUUCUUAUAUGCAAUAAUAUUAGGGGAAGAGAAAUUGAACUUGAGAGAUCGAAUGUAAAGGUGAGUGCUUUUAAGUAAUUGAACUACGAACAUUAUUAGAAAUGAAGAACAUACCAGGAUAUUGGGGAGCAUCUUCGAUGACAUGAGGCAAGUCGAAGUUAAUGCCCUUAAUCGAAGGGUAUUUAGAGACGAUCAUGUGAAGGACAGCGCCGGUGCCACCACCAACAUCAACGAUGGAUGUGAGGCCCUCAAAGCCAUUGUAGUUCUCAAGAAGUUUCUUCAUGGUAAUGGUAGAGUGGUCAGCCAUUCCCUUGUUGAAGACCUUGUUGAAUCUGGGGUCAGUGCCAUGGUACUCAAAAGCAGUCAUUCCGUAGGCCUUGUUGAAUGGGAUACCUCCUUCAAGGACUGCAUC
rnacentral:lncRNA from 1 species